CCUAACACAUGCAAGUCGAACGGUAACAGGAAACAGCUUGCUGUUUCGCUGACGAGUGGCGGACGGGUGAGUAAUGUCUGGGAAACUGCCUGAUGGAGGGGGAUAACUACUGGAAACGGUAGCUAAUACCGCAUAACGUCGCAAGACCAAAGAGGGGGACCUUCGGGCCUCUUGCCAUCAGAUGUGCCCAGAUGGGAUUAGCUAGUAGGUGGGGUAACGGCUCACCUAGGCGACGAUCCCUAGCUGGUCUGAGAGGAUGACCAGCCACACUGGAACUGAGACACGGUCCAGACUCCUACGGGAGGCAGCAGUGGGGAAUAUUGCACAAUGGGCGCAAGCCUGAUGCAGCCAUGCCGCGUGUAUGAAGAAGGCCUUCGGGUUGUAAAGUACUUUCAGCGGGGAGGAAGGGAGUAAAGUUAAUACCUUUGCUCAUUGACGUUACCCGCAGAAGAAGCACCGGCUAACUCCGUGCCAGCAGCCGCGGUAAUACGGAGGGUGCAAGCGUUAAUCGGAAUUACUGGGCGUAAAGCGCACGCAGGCGGUUUGUUAAGUCAGAUGUGAAAUCCCCGGGCUCAACCUGGGAACUGCAUCUGAUACUGGCAAGCUUGAGUCUCGUAGAGGGGGGUAGAAUUCCAGGUGUAGCGGUGAAAUGCGUAGAGAUCUGGAGGAAUACCGGUGGCGAAGGCGGCCCCCUGGACGAAGACUGACGCUCAGGUGCGAAAGCGUGGGGAGCAAACAGGAUUAGAUACCCUG
rnacentral:rRNA from 1 species